rnacentral:lncRNA from 1 species
AUUUCUCCUCUUCCUCUUGUCCCAUAUCUGAAAAAAAAAAAUCGCCACCACCAGCCCCUCUUCAAGUCAGCAGACCGACGGUCGACGUCCCUUUUCAACUCUCCUCUGCUCGACGGUUGACGCUCGAGCUUAACGUCUCACACACGUGCACCAGUCACCAUCAUCGUUGGCAGAUUCAUUCAUCUCAUUGCACGGUAGGAUAGUUUAACUUUAUUUUCUUUUUUUAUGUAUUAUUUCUUUUAUUUCUCUAAAUACUUUCUCUGCUGCAAAUUUUUAUGGUUGUCGACAAAGAGAGAGAAUGUUUUUGUCGGUUUUAGCUUAGUUGCGUCUUAGCUCAUUGACUUUUAUGCUUAGUGCUCUCUUUUUUUCUACCAUCGUUUCCACUUUGUUUCCCUUAACUUCAACGUGAAUUACUUAUUCUAGUGAACCCCAUAGCUCGAAUCUGCAAGUACAAGUGGGAAAAGAAACUAUGUUAAUUAAAAAAAAUAAACCGUACCGAAUCGACUGAUUCGAUUAUUUCGGUUUUGCACAUAACUUCAGUUUGGUUAAUUUGGUUACAACAAAAAUUUUGAUUUAUUCAAUUAUUGCCAUGAAAUAACCAAAUAGACUGAAUGCACACUUGUUAUGGUAUUUUCUGUUUUCAACCCAAAACUUGAAUAUAACCUCGAACCAUCAACCCACAACCUGAGUAGAUGCAAAAGAACUUGAGCCCCACAAGGUAGAGACAUUAGGGGCUCGUGGGGAGAGCGCUCACAUGUUCCUAGGUGUUCGCAAGCAGAGGAUGCGAAAUCAAGUGGGUAGUUCGAGGAACAAGUGUUAAGUCUAGAAUAGUAUACAUGUUGGCAUGCAUGGAGCCUACCUAGGACGUCAUUUCAAUGAAUAGAAAUUGUGUCUUAUAAAUACUCGAUUCCCCUCAUCGAGAGGACACAUCAGAACACUCAAUAAUUUGGUGUAGUGAGCGUGGACAGACUUCUGAUCGAUAGAUUUUCUUUUAAUUUGUAAAAAUCAGAAUGGCUCGCCUAGAUGAAAAUUUCCCCAUCAACUUUUCAUCAAGACAAGCUGGAGCUUCAGGUACAGGUGGCCAACCCACUAAGGCUAAUUUGUUUGCCAGCUAGUUUGUUGAACAACCGAAAAAUUUGGGUAACGUGGCCCACGUAGGGGCCUCAAACUCUUUUGACCUAAAAUUUCCUUCUAGCUAAGAGUUGUCGUUCUUUUCUAAUCAAGAAGCAUUGUUGUAGUAGUUUUUUGCUCUUCAAGAGCAAAUGAAAUUGAUGAAGGAACAAAUGGCCAUACAGAACGUGAGGUUUGAGCAACAAAAAACAUUUCAUCAGGAGCUCUUAAAAUUAUGAAGAGCUCAGAAGAAAGGUUCAAUCCGACAACUCCGAUUUUCAUGAUAAUGCAGCCAUGCGGGAAGAAGGUACUAAUGUGCAUACAAAAUAGUGGCAAAGUGAGAUGGAUGCUUUACGGUGAGACAUAAGGGCUUUGCAUCUUGAGUUUAUAUUAAUUAAAGCUUUUGAAUGUUUAUGGUAGAGUUUGAAGCUUUGAUGGAAAAUAGGAUUAUUUUAUAAUGUAAUUUUUGUUAGUUUUGAACAUAAGGACUAAAUUGUUAAUAUUUUGAAAUUGACAUGUAAUUUUUUAUAAUAUGAGGCUGUAAUUGGAUAUAUUUGAAGUUGGUUUAAAAUUUGGAGUCCAAAUUUGGAAUUUAUGAUAAGUUUGAUUUUAAGGACUAAAUUGAAUAAAAUGUAAAACUUGAGGAAAUAAUUGAAAGAUUAAAUUAAGCUUAUAUAUAUUUGUAAUAGGUUGUUAUAUAAUAUUUGAUUGAUUAAAUGGAAAUAAAUUUAUAUUAUAUAUCAAGAUUUGAACAAGACGAUUGAUAAUUGAGAAAGAAGGAAAUUAUAGACUAGUCCCUGACACUUUUGCUUUUGUUGUUAGCCUCUGGUAAGUUCAUACAUUAUAAAUAUAUUUAAAUUGUUGUUAAGUUUUAUUUGUAUGUUUAUUAAUGUUUUUUUGAUAUCUUGAAUUGGCUAUGAAUUAGUACAUAAAUUGAGAACUGAAUUAGAUUGAAAUGAAUUGUUAUAAAAUGGUAUAAUGUGAGAUUAAACCCUGAUGAAAUGAGUAAAAGUCUCGUAUACAAGGUUACAUGUUAUUGCCUGCAGGUUCUGAGCUCUAGCAUGUGUUGCAGACUCAAGAAUACAAGUUUAUUAAGCCUUGGCCAAGCUACAUGUUGUGUAGGUUCAACCCUGACGGGUGACCAGGCAUUAUUAUUCGAUUCAUAUAUGUUCAACUCUAACAGGUGACCAAGCACUAUUAUUCGAUUCAUGUGGGUUCAACCCUAACGGGUGACUAGGCACUAUUAUUUGAUUCUGUAGGUUCAACCUUAACAGUUGACCAGACACUAUUAUCUGAUUCGUGUAAGUUUAAUCCAAACGGGUAACCAGGCACUAUUAUUCGAUUCGUGUAGGUUUAACCCAAACGAGUAACCAAACACUAUUACUUUCAUUUGUGUUGAAGUUCUUUUACGAAUUUUCAUUGGGUAACAUUGUGAGUGAAAAUGUGAUGAUAUGUUGUUAGAUGUUGACAAAGUAAUGUAUAUGAUUUGGGUAUAAGGUAUGAGUUUGAUUAUGAUAGAAAUAUGAAAAAUUGAGGUUAUAUUUAUGGUUUGAGCUCAAAGCCUA